rnacentral:rRNA from 1 species
CGCGGCCUAUCAGCUUGUUGGUGGGGUAACGGCCUACCAAGGCUUCGACGGGUAGCUGGUCUGAGAGGAUGGUCAGCCACACUGGGACUGAGACACGGCCCAGACUCCUACGGGAGGCAGCAGUUAGGAAUCUUGCGCAAUGGGCGAAAGCCUGACGCAGCAACGCCGCGUGAGGGAUGAAGGCUUUCGGGUUGUAAACCUCUUUCAGCAGGAACGAAAAUGACGGUACCUGCAGAAGAAGCUCCGGCCAACUACGUGCCAGCAGCCGCGGUAAUACGUAGGGAGCAAGCGUUGUCCGGAUUUAUUGGGCGUAAAGAGCUCGUAGGCGGUUUAGAAAGUCAGGUGUGAAACCUCCAGGCUCAACCUGGAGACGCCACCUGAUACUUCUAUGACUUGAGUUCGGUAGGGGACCAUGGAAUUCCUGGUGUAGCGGUGAAAUGCGCAGAUAUCAGGAGGAACACCGAUGGCGAAGGCAGUGGUCUGGGCCGAUACUGACGCUGAGGAGCGAAAGCGUGGGGAGCGAACAGGAUUAGAUACCCUGGUAGUCCACGCCGUAAACGUUGGGAACUAGGUGUGGGAGAUAUUCAACGUCUUCCGUGCCGUAGCUAACGCAUUAAGUUCCCCGCCUGGGAGUAC